CCAACUAAGUUUGUUCUGGGUAUAAGCUUUCGUGUGCAUGCACGAAAUUUGUGUAUCUGAAGAAGUGUGCAUGCACACGAAAGCUUAUACCCAGAACAAAGUUAGUUCA